ensembl:scaRNA
GUGCACCAGAUACGAGUCUGACAGUCUGUUGUGUCCCAGAUGGGGGUUCCUCUGUGGCUGCUCGGCUUCAAACGGUGCGAGAGCAACAUCAGCCAUGAGAUUUAAGCCCUUCAGUGGAAGCAACACUGAAGAGUUAUAACUCAGAGGCACAGAU